UGCCACGUAGCUCACUGGUUAAGAGCGACGGCAUCAAAGGAUAGAGGAAGGGGUCCGGGUUCAAUUCCCCGGCACGGCAA